CUCCAGAGUAUCAUUGAUUGAAUUCUUAUGAAUUUGUUUUUGUGUAUAUCUCUAUAGAUAACUUGCACUCUUGACCAUGCUGAAUUAUAAUAUCUAAUUGUCCAAAGCCAUUCAGUCUUAUCAUACAUAGUGAUCUUUACUUUUCUCUUACAGAGAACCCCUUCUACACAGAUCAGAAACUGAGAUGUCUGAAACAUCAAAAGAACCUUAGUCAAAGAUUGUAUCCACUAUUCUUAACUCUUAAUAAUAUAAGAAAUGGACUCAUGUGAACAACUUCCCAGUAUAAUAUAGCAUCUUGUUUCAGAUACUUGUCAGACUAUAUAUAACUGAUGGCAUCAGUAUUUCUCCAACUUUUUUUUUAAUCCAAAAGCUGAAGACUUUGGGGAAGUAGAUUCUUUACCCAAGACCUAUAAACUAUAAAUUAAUUACUAAGCUAAAUGGAUCAAAAUAACUAAUCAAACUGUGGCUAAUGCUUUUUAAUGUAUAUGAGAAACUCCCUUUCUUUUUAUGUAUUCCAAAUGUUUAAUUUAGCAGAAUUUGUACAAAUUAGAAUGAAACAUUGUUAAUAGUUUUCUGUGUCAACUGAUCCUAGGGUUAUGAAAAAACCCAAGAUCUUAAUAUAGGUUAUAAGCUAAUUAAUUACCAAUAGUUGUUCAUAAAUAACUGGUUGGUCUAAAAAAUUUCUCAGAAAAAAAAAUUAAAUGGCUAAACAUAAUGCAAAGUGCAUUUAUUAAGAUCUUUUACUUUUCAUGAUCCUGUAGUUACUUACAAAUAUACAGAAUCCUUAGUCUUCCUACCAUAGCUGUUACAGUUUGGAGUCAGAAUGUCUCUCAAAGGCUCAUAUAUUAAAGGUUGUGUUCCUGAUACAGCAGUAUUCAGAGACAGGCCUUUUGUGAAGUGGUUGGAUCAUGAGGCCCUAACCUCGUCAGUGAAUUAAUCUAUUGAUGGAUUAGGAGUGGUAGAAGCUGUAGGAGGUAGAGCCUAAUUGGAAGAAGUAGGUGACUUGGGGUAUGCCACUGGAACGGUAUAUCUUGUCUCUGGCCCCUUUUUCACUGUCUCCCUCUGCUUCCCAGCCACCAUGAGGUGAGCUGCCUUCUCCACCACAUGCUUCUGCCACCAUGAUACUCUUCCUUGCCUCAGGCCCAGAAACAGUGGAGCCAGCUGGCCGUAGAUUGAAACCUCUGAAACAAAGAGCCAAAAUAAUUCUUUCCUCCUCUAAAUUGAUUUUCUCAGGUAUUUUGUCACAGCAACAGAAAACUAAAACAAUAACAUAAUUAAAUAUAUUAUAUCUAUGACCACGCCACAAAUCUUAAGUAUUUAAUUUGGCAUGAAAGCUAAUAAGGAAAAAGAGCUAUGCUUCAUCUAUAGAAAUGAUGCCCACCAGGUCAUAUCAUGAAAAUGGUCUCUUACCUGGCAUAUGACAGAAUCCCAGACUUACAGAUAGUAAAAGCUUUCUUCCUACUGGCUUACAACAUUGAAGAAUGUGAGGACUGGGGUUGGGGGAGGAGCCUUAUGGUUUUAGGUGAAACAGAUAAAUCCUGGUACAUACUGAUUCUGAAUCCUUAAUCUUAGUAAAACUGAAAAUAAAAUACUGCUUUCACCCCAAACAGUAAAUUAUAACCUAUAGACUUUACAAAGCUUCCAAAAAGAAGCUAAUUCUUAGUCCAUAGUAUCUAGUUAUAUUGCCUAUGUAUUAACAAGGAU
rnacentral:lncRNA from 1 species